CAGUAGCCGCGGUAAUACGAAGGGUGCAAGCGUUAAUCGGAAUUACUGGGCGUAAAGCGUGCGUAGGCGGUGAGUUAAGUCUGCUGUGAAAUCCCCGGGCUCAACCUGGGAAUGGCAGUGGAUACUGGCUCGCUAGAGUGUGUCAGAGGAUGGUGUAAUUCCCGGUGUAGCGGUGAAAUGCGUAGAGAUCGGGAGGAACAUCAGUGGCGAAGGCGGCCAUCUGGGACAACACUGACGCUGAGGCACGAAAGCGUGGGGAGCAAACAGGAUUAGAUACCCCGGUAGUCCCUGUCUCUUAUAC
rnacentral:rRNA from 1 species